ACCUACCGCAACAACAGAGAGCCCCACGCUCCAGCGCUCGAUCUCCUCGAGUGAGCUCCUGCCUCGUUCCCUUCCGUCCUCGUCUAUCCUUCGCACGCGGCAAGGCACAGCACCACCGGUGCUCCCUCCGCCGACGAGCACCACCAGCAGAUGAGCCUCGCCGCCUGGAGCACACCGGCGCUAUAGAAGCCAUCACCGGCCUCCGCGUCGAGCUCCGCCACCACCAGAUCCGUCCGCUCUCCCCCAACCCCGCCGGGCUCGCUGCCCGGCCGGAGCAGCAGCUCCUCGUGUUGCCGUCCCUCUCCUUCUUGCCCCUUUUCUCUCUGUGCUUCUCACAUGUGAGCAUCGCCGUCCCCAAUGCAGGUCACCUCCGUUCGCGCCUUGCAAGCCUCUGCUCGAGCUCGUCCACCCUGUGCCUCAAGUCCCUACCGCCGGCGCACCGUCCUCGCCGUCGCGUCGUUCCUCUGUUUCCAGCGUCGACCGCAGCACCAAGUCCCGCUCGAUUCAGCCUGCCCCAUUGACCGAGUCCCUGCCUCCUCGCUCGCUUCGUCCAGCCGCACGCGUUGACCCUCGCUGAGUCCAGCGUGGCGGCCAGAUCCAUCGGCCUGCACCAGCUUGCAGCCCAACCUCGUGGCCUGCUGCCACCAUCGUAGCCCAUGUUGCAGGUGCCGAUGAUACCAGUGCAGGUGAUGCUACCGAACUCAAGUGGGAGUUUGACAAGGAC